UACGAAGGGGGCUAGCGUUGUUCGGAUUCAUUGGGCGUAAAGGGUGCGUAGGUGGCGUGGUAAGUCGGGUGUGAAAUUUCGGAGCUUAACUCCGAAACUGCAUUCGAUACUGCCGUGCUUGAGGACUGGAGAGGAGACUGGAAUUUACGGUGUAGCAGUGAAAUGCGUAGAGAUCGUAAGGAAGACCAGUGGCGAAGGCGGGUCUCUGGACAGUUCCUGACACUGAGGCACGAAGGCCAGGGGAGCAAACGGG
rnacentral:rRNA from 1 species